rnacentral:rRNA from 1 species
CGCGUAGGCGGUUGUGAAAGUCAGAUGUGAAAUACUUCGGCUCAACUGAAGAACUGCAUCUGAAACUUCAUAACUCGAGUACAGGAGAGGGAAACGGAAUUCCCGGUGUAGAGGUGAAAUUCGUAGAUAUCGGGAGGAACACCAGUGGCGAAGGCGGUUUCCUGGCCUGAUACUGACGCUGAGGCGCGAAAGCGUGGGGAGCAAACAG